GAAAGUCAUUUUACCCCUCCGCGCCAGGCAAAUCUCUAAGACCAUAACUUACAAAUAGACUAUCAAUCCUCCUUUGUGCUGCUCAGUCCCGUGGGACUCGUGACUCUAUUUGCACCGGAGCGGUUCCCAUUUCCUUCUCCAGCUCCCGUCGCAAAGGGGGUGAAGCGCCGAGGCCGGGCUCCCACGCUGCAGGCGCGGCCCUCCAGCUUGCCCGGCCCUCCGCCUGGGUCCCAGGCCUAUUCUGUAUGAAAAUCUGCCCGUUUAGGAAAGGCCGGCGAUCGCGGGGAGGGGCGCGGGAGCACUUGAGGUAAACCCAAGGCUGGGGUCGGGAAUGGCUCUCACGGGCCUCUUUGAGAAUGGUCGGCGCAAGGCAAGAAAAUGAGCCUCGGCCUGGAGCAGCCCCAGUCCCUUCCUCCCGGGGAAGGAGUCGAGUGAGACUGCUCGCUGUCUCCCGCCAGAGGGCGCGCUUUGUCCUCGGGAAGGGUCUACGCCCAGCGACGAGACGCUCUCCGACCCGCCGAGCCCGUUCUGUUUGCAGGAAGUCCCGCAGACGCGUCUUCAGCCGGGGCCGAGGCGCUGCGCUGCGCUGCGCUGCGACGCUUUAGUGCGGGCCACUAAGUCCCUCGGAGGCUCUUUGGUCUCUGAGCACCCCGAGCGCAGGCAGCACCGGGCUCUGCUUUGUCUCGCGUGGCCAGGCACGCCGAGGCCCUUCACACACGCUCCCUGCGGGGCCAGGUGGUUACCAUGGAGAUUUGGCGAGCCAAGGUGUCUGGGCAGACACGAAUCAAUAUUUCCAAUGAUCCUGGGGCUGUUCUUGACCUUGAACAAACUUCCAAGAAGAACUGGAGGGGGCUCUUCUCAAGAGAAGGGGAGUCUGAUGGAGCCGCAGCUGGGUGUCCAUUGUAGACUGCCCAAGCAGAGGGCUAAAUAAUAGCCAGAGGUCUUCGGCAGUUAAUAGACCCGAGUAGAGAACGUAGAGUCCAGUGCAGACCAGACCUGAGAGUAGACCUGAGGAGAUAGUAGAGGAGCCAGCUGAUUGUGGAGGGCCAAUGACAAUAUAUUCAUCUGUUCCCUAGCACCUUGCUUUCUCCCCCUCUCUCUGGGGCACAGACACGGCCCAACUUACUGGUCCAAACUCAUUCCUGUUGCCUCUCCCAGUGCCAAAGGGUAAGGGAAGAUGAGGACCCAUUUUGUGUCUUCCUGCCUGCAACUCCAGUGCAGCCAGACAUGGCCAAUGUGGGAAUUUGCUUUGCUCAAUCAUCCGUGUUUGUCACAGAGGUCUCUCCCAAUUAUGGGAUAGGGCAGGUGAGAGGAGGAAAGGUUGGGUCUUCAUUUGAAUUAAAGGGAAAACAUUUUUCAAAAAGAAAAAAUUCUCUAUCAGAUUAAAGAUCUUUUUCCUAAA